rnacentral:rRNA from 1 species
AUUGAACGCUGGCGGCAGGCCUAACACAUGCAAGUCGAACGCGUGGCGGACGGGUGAGUAAUCUCAGGGAAACUGCCUGAUGGAGGGAGAUAACUACUGGAAACGGUAGCUACUACCGCAUACCAUAAGAUGUGCCAAUAUGGGAUUAGCUUGUUGGUGGGGUAACGGCUCACCAAGGCGACGAUCCCUAGAGGGUCUGAGAGGAUGCCCAGCAGUACUGGAACUGAGACACGGUGCAGACGACUACGGGAGUCAGCAGUGGGGAAUAUUGCACAAUGGGAGUAAGCAUGAUGCGUCCAUGCGGCGUGUAUGAAGAAGGCCAUCGGGCUGUAAAGUACUUCAAGCGGGGAGGCGUUACCUGCAGAAGAAGCUCCGGCUAAAUCCGUGCCAGCAGCCGCGGUAAUUC